rnacentral:rRNA from 1 species
UACAGAGGGGGCAAGCGUUGUUCCGAAUUACUGGGCGUAAAGGGCGCGUAGGCGGCCUUCUAAGUCGAACGUGAAAUCCCCGGGCUCAACCCGGGAACUGCGUCCGAUACUGGAAGGCUUGAAUCCGGGAGAGGGAUGCGGAAUUCCAGGUGUAGCGGUGAAAUGCGUAGAUAUCUGGAGGAACACCGGUGGCGAAGGCGGCAUCCUGGACCGGCAUUGACGCUGAGGCGCGAAAGCCAGGGGAGCAAACGGG